GAAACCGUGUACGUACAAGCAGUGGGAGCACGCUUAGGCGUGUGACUGCGUACCUUUUGUAUAAUGGGUCAGCGACUUAUAUUCUGUAGCAAGGUUAACCGAAUAGGGGAGCCGAAGGGAAACCGAGUCUUAACUGGGCGUUAAGUUGCAGGGUAUAGACCCGAAACCCGGUGAUCUAGCCAUGGGCAGGUUGAAGGUUGGGUAACACUAACUGGAGGACCGAACCGACUAAUGUUGAAAAAUUAGCGGAUGACUUGUGGCUGGGGGUGAAAGGCCAAUCAAACCGGGAGAUAGCUGGUUCUCCCCGAAAGCUAUUUAGGUAGCGCCUCGUGAAUUCAUCUCCGGGGGUAGAGCACUGUUUCGGCAAGGGGGUCAUCCCGACUUACCAACCCGAUGCAAACUGCGAAUACCGGAGAAUGUUAUCACGGGAGACACACGGCGGGUGCUAACGUCCGUCGUGAAGAGGGAAACAACCCAGACCGCCAGCUAAGGUCCCAAAGUCAUGGUUAAGUGGGAAACGAUGUGGGAAGGCCCAGACAGCCAGGAUGUUGGCUUAGAAGCAGCCAUCAUUUAAAGAAAGCGUAAUAGCUCACUGGUCGAGUCGGCCUGCGCGGAAGAUGUAACGGGGCUAAACCAUGCACCGAAGCUGCGGCAGCGACGCUUAUGCGUUGUUGGGUAGGGGAGCGUUCUGUAAGCCUGUGAAGGUGUACUGUGAGGUAUGCUGGAGGUAUCAGAAGUGCGAAUGCUGACAUAAGUAACGAUAAAGCGGGUGAAAAGCCCGCUCGCCGGAAGACCAAGGGUUCCUGUCCAACGUUAAUCGGGGCAGGGUGAGUCGACCCCUAAGGCGAGGCCGAAAGGCGUAGUCGAUGGGAAACAGGUUAAUAUUCCUGUACUUGGUGUUACUGCGAAGGGGGGACGGAGAAGGCUAUGUUGGCCGGGCGACGGUUGUCCCGGUUUAAGCGUGUAGGCUGGU
rnacentral:rRNA from 1 species